AUUCUUUUGGUAUUGUCCUUUUGGAGCUUAUUACCGGCGGAAGAAAUAAAGAUACCGUGAAUUGGGUAAGCUCUAAUACUAAACAAUAUAAAUAAGGCAUGAGCUAGAGGAUUAAAGCACGAAUACUCACUUCAUUAAUUAAAAUAAGAUACUAUCAUAGUUAAAUAUAGAGUAGAGUAUUAUAGUACUAUUCGGACAACACUAAUAGUUUAACUGUUUUAGCAGUGGAUAGUGGAUGGUUGUUCAGUGGUUAAUCAAACUUUAUAAUAAAUAAUUUUUCGUAAUUUACUCAAUCAAUCAUUAAAUACUAGUGUUUUGAUUCAGUUAAUAUUAAACAUUAUUUUUAAAAUUAUUGCUGAACAGAGUUUAUAUCUCAACUUUGAAAUCUAAAAUAAUUGAGUUCAAUAACUAUUAAAAUGUAAGAUGAAAUGAACAUUAAACUAAGCAAGAAAUAGAACAAUCCAAGGUGAUUCUCAGCUUAGAUGAUAAAAUCAGCUGCAGCCUUCAGUGUUCCUUCAACCUGUGGUUGCAACCUUCAGUGUUUCUUCAACCUGUGGUCUUAUACGGCUGCAAACACAAGCUUUUAAUAGUUGAAGUAGUCAUUUAUAAAAAAUUACUUUAUUUUUAAUAUUUGAUUAACUGCUAAUUGAAUAAUUAUCUGCUAGUAAAAUUAUUAAUAACUACUGCAAUAACUAUUAUUGCAAAACAGGACCUAUAUGUUCAUAUUUCAAUUAAUAAAAUAGCAUGACUAUUUCAUCUUUAAUUCAUUUACAUUUAUCACUAUAUUUUUCCAAUUAAUUUGAUUCAUUAAAAUCAAAAUAAUAAAUAAAAAAGUGUUAUACAACAAUAUACCAGUAC
rnacentral:lncRNA from 1 species